UACAGAGGGUGCAAGCGUUAAUCGGAAUUACUGGGCGUAAAGCGUGCGUAGACGGUUAUUUAAGUCGGGUGUGAAAGCCCCGGGCUCAACCUGGGAAUUGCAUUCGAGACUGAAUAGCUAGGGUGCGGAAGAGGGAAGCGGAAUUUCCGGUGUAGCGGUGAAAUGCGUAGAUAUCGGGAGGAACACCAGUGGCGAAAGCGGCUACCUGGCCCAUUCUUGACGCUGAGGCGCGAAAGCUAGAGGAGCAAACGGG
rnacentral:rRNA from 1 species